rnacentral:lncRNA from 1 species
ACUGACAACUUGACUUUUCUUCUCUCUCUUCCCCAUGCCUUUUCCUUUGUAGAAACAAAACUGCUCUGUGAACUGCAGGAAGCCAAGUUUUUGCAGGAAACACCACAUGGCUUCAAAACCUUACCAUGCUGAUUUAGUCCUCAAGGCAGUGGUUGGUUGUGAAGAAAGGAAUUAGAAAUAUUCCUAGGGCAUUUCAAUCUGUAGUUAAUGGAGGACUUCUAUUUUGAGAGUUAAAACCAGAUCUGAAGAUAACAAGUUGUAGCCAGGGAUCUCAUCCCAAGGAAAUGUGAAAUGGUAAUCAUUUCUCAGAGAACUGGAAACCCUAGUUAUGGCUUCUCUUCUGGAACUGUGUGCAUUUUGCAUCCAUCAUCUCUGGUUCUCAUAAAGACCCUGCAUGGUAGAUCUCUCUUAUUGUGCAUAUAAGGACAUUGAAUCCAAACAAGCUGAGAGUUGAUGAGAGGGUAAGUAAUUUGCCUAAAGUUACACAGCAAGAAAGG